UAUGAUUUUUCAAAAUUGGAUUUUUCCGAUGAAGAAGAUAUUCCUCCACCACCAUUACCCUCUCAGUUCAUAGCACCUGUUCUACCACCAAACUGGAAAGAUGCCAAGGACUCAACGGGCAAAACCUAUAAUUUCAAUGUCUUAACUAGGAAACACUGUGGACUCCUCCAAAAGUUGAUGAUCAGUUCUCUAGACAGGUUAACACAUAUAUGGAUAUUCCUUAUAAUUCUAGCAAUGAUGCAGCUAUUUCAAGAAAAGAAUCCAAAAACACUGAGAGGAGUAGAGACGGUGUACCAGCAAGUGAAACUAUAACCUUAAAAUCUAAAAAUGCCCACUUGUCACCAGCUGCAGGUUCAGAGAAAUUAAUUGCACCUCUAUAUACUGCAACACCUAUUUUUGAUAUUUUAGAG